GUGCUCAUAUCAGCAGCACAUAUACUAAAAUUGGAAUGAUACAGAGAAGAUUAGCAUGGGCCCUGUGCAAGGAUGACAAAUUCGUGAAGUGUUCUAUAUUUUU